UGCUUGAACCCAGGAGGUGGAGGUUGCAGUGAGCUGAGAUCCAGCCUGGGCAACAGAGAGAGACUCCACCUCAAAACAAACAAACAAAAACAAGAAUUUAGCUAGGCAGUGGAUGGGGCACAUAGAUACAGUGCCCCCACCAGGGUCAGCUGCCUCAUGACCUCUUCUUCAACCACGGAAGCUUUUCCUGAAUGACUGAUGGGCGUGCGCAUGUUGCAAGGACACUCAUGAACCGAGGAGUGUGAGGCGUGCAGGUCGCGGGCACCCAGCUUCAGACUGCACUAAAGAACAUCCCUGCUUCAAUCAGCAGGGCAUCAGCUCAGGCUGCAUCGCGAACAGGAAAGGGGAUGGGAGAUGGUGACUAAGGUGACCACAAAGAGCAAGGCACAGAGGGCUUUCCUGACACGCGCCUAGGAGCCUUGGUGUUUGCCUGAUGUCCCGGCUUGUCCUGGACUCCUCAUGUACCUGCCGGCUGGUGUGCCAGGGUGCUGGGGCUCUUCUGGAUGGCACUGAACUGCAACACUGAAUCCUCACCGAAUUGCGUCCUCAAGCAACAAGGCAUCCUCCCCAGCAGGGUGAGGGGCCUGCCCAGCCUUCUCUACUGGCCUCCUGGUGUCCAUAGCUGAGGAGGGAUUACUUCCUCCUCUCCCAUCCCCUAACCCCACAGGCCUAGUAAUGGUGGGGGCUGUGACUCUUACCUAUAGCUGGCCACCCCAACUACACAUUUUGUUUGAAAUUAAACACACACACACACACACACCCGUACAUAUUCUAUGUAUGCAUUCAACCCAUUUUUUUUUUUUUUUUUUGGAGACGGAGUCUCGCUCUGUCGCCCAGGCUGGAGUGCAGUGGUAUGAUCUCGGCUCACUGCAACCUCCACCUCCCGGGUUCAAGUGAUUCUCCUGCCUCAGCCUCCCAAGUAGUGCAUGCCACCAUGCCCGGCUAAUUUUUUUUUUUUAGUAGAGACACGGUUUCACCAUGUUAGCCAGGAUGAUCUCGAUCUCCUGACCUCAUGAUCUGCCCGCCUUGGCCUCCCAAAGUGUUGGGAUUACAGGCAUGAGCCACCGUGCCCGGCCUCAACCCAAUUUUUAAAAGUACUUUGUGUCCCAUUCAUCAAAU
rnacentral:lncRNA from 10 species